CCUACGGGCGGCAGCAGUGAGGAAUAUUGGUCAAUGGACGCAAGUCUGAACCAGCCAUGCCGCGUGCAGGAUGACGGCUCUAUGAGUUGUAGACUGCUUUUGUACGAGGGUAAACCCCGAUACGUGUAUCGGGUUGAAAGUAGCGUACGAAUAAGGAUCGGCGAACUCCGUGCCAGCAGCCGCGGUAAUACGGAGGAUCCGAGCGUUAUCCGGAUUUAUUGGGUUUAAAGGGUGCGUAGGCGGGUUGAUAAGUUAGAGGUGAAAUGUCGGGGCUCCACCCCGAAACUGCCUCUAAUACUGGUGGACUCGAGCCUAGUUGCGGUAGUCGGCAUGUCUGGUGUAGCGGUG
rnacentral:rRNA from 1 species